UCGCCGCCGCCACCACCAUACAAGUAUGAAUCGCCUCCUCCACCACCAUAUAAGUACGAAUCGCCACCGCCACCACCAUACAAGUACGAGUCGCCUCCUCCACCUCCGUACAAGUAUGAAUCGCCUCCUCCCCCACCAUACUACUACAAAUCACCACCACCACCUCCUUACAAGUAUGAAUCUCCCCCUCCACCUCCAUAUUACUACAAAUCUCCACCCCCGCCACCACCUUACUACUACAAAUCACCACCACCACCUUCUCCUGUCUACAAAUAUAAAUCUCCACCACCACCACCUUACAAGUACGAAUCUCCUCCUCCACCUCCAUACUAUUACAAGUCUCCACCACCACCGCCGUAUUACUACAAGUCUCCACCACCACCACCUCCAGUUUACAAAUACAAAUCUCCUCCUCCGCCACCAUAUUACUACAAAUCACCACCUCCUCCAUCACCAGUAUAUUACUACAAAUCUCCUCCUCCACCAGCGUAUUACUACAAAUCUCCCCCACCGCCUGUCUACUAUUACAAAUCCCCGCCACCUCCAGCUUACCACUACCAAUCGCCACCCCCACCAAGUUACAAGCUGGUAGUGGUCACGGGCAAGGUCUAUUGCAACAGAUGCUGGAACACCACAAGCAGAUACCUUCAGGCAUCACCACAUGGGUCUGCUAGGUACAUUCUCAAUUGCAUUGUAUUCGAUAUUGUUCUCCUCACUCAUUUCCUCUUGAUACUGUGUGCAAUAAUGCAGGUGGCAAAGUGAAGAUCACAUGUGGCGAAUCUUACUACUACGGCUACACCAACAAGCAUGGAAUCUUUAGAAUUGAGCUCCCGCACCAAUCCUGGGAAGAAGCAAGCAGCUGCAAGGCCAAGAUUAUCAAGAGCAGCUACAUCAAGUCGUCAUGCAAUGUCAUCACGGACUACAGGUCUGGUGCAACAGGGGCCAAGCUCAAGUUCAAAUCGAAAACAGAGAAGGAGCUCGUCUUGACAGCCGGUCCUUUCAUCUAUGCAACUCCAGAGCCAUCGUCAGUCUGCUUCUACACAUCACCUCCCUAUGAGUACAAGUCACCUCCGCCACCAACACCGGUCUACCAUUACGCCUCUCCGCCACCUCCGGUCUACUACUACAAAUCGCCACCUCCUCCUUCACCGGUUUACUACUACAAAUCCCCUCCUCCUCCUUCGCCGGUCUACUAUUACAAAUCCCCGCCUCCACCACCAUACUAUUACAAGUCCCCACCUCCACCUCCGCCUAAGUAUUACUACAAGUCGCCCCCACCACCGUCUCCAUACUAUUACAAAUCCCCGCCCCCUCCACCGUACUAUUACAAAUCCCCACCACCACCUCCCUACAAAUACGAAUCGCCGCCGCCUCCUCCUUACAAAUACGAGUCCCCACCUCCACCACCUUACUAUUACAAGUCCCCACCACCACCUCCAUACAAAUAUGAAUCCCCGCCACCUCCAGUCUACAAAUAUGAGUCUCCGCCACCCCCAGUUUACAAAUACAAGUCGCCACCACCACCAUACAAGUACGAGUCACCACCACCACCUCCAUACAAGUAUGAAUCCCCGCCACCUCCACCUUAUUACUACAAGUCCCCUCCACCACCACCAUACAAGUACGAGUCGCCACCACCUCCUCCGUACAAGUAUGAAUCUCCACCACCACCAGUUUACAAAUACAAGUCACCUCCGCCGCCACCUUAUUACUACAAAUCCCCACCGCCACCUCCAUACAAGUACGAGUCUCCACCUCCUCCUCCGUACAAGUAUGAAUCUCCACCACCACCACCUUAUUACUACAAAUCCCCCCCGCCACCUCCAUACAAGUACGAGUCACCGCCUCCUCCUCCGUACAAGUAUGAAUCUCCACCACCGCCAGUUUACAAAUACAAGUCACCCCCGCCACCACCUUAUUACUACAAAUCCCCGCCACCACCUCCAUACAAGUACGAGUCUCCACCUCCUCCUCCGUACAAGUAUGAAUCUCCACCACCACCUCCUUAUUACUACAAAUCCCCGCCGCCACCUCCCUACAAGUAUGAAUCCCCGCCACCACCUCCCUACAAAUACGAGUCACCUCCACCACCACCUUACUAUUACAAAUCUCCUCCACCGCCUCCAUACAAGUAUGAGUCGCCACCACCACCAGUCUACAAAUACGAGUCUCCGCCACCCCCAGUUUACAAAUACAAGUCGCCCCCUCCACCUUAUUACUACAAGUCUCCGCCACCCCCGCCAUACAAAUAUGAAUCCCCACCUCCACCUCCCUACAAGUAUGAAUCGCCUCCUCCUCCACCUUACUACUACAAGUCCCCUCCACCACCUCCCUACAAAUAUGAAUCCCCGCCACCACCUCCCUAUAAAUACGAGUCACCACCACCACCACCUUACUAUUACAAAUCUCCUCCACCGCCUCCAUACAAGUAUGAGUCGCCACCACCACCUCCCUACAAAUACGAGUCACCACCACCACCACCUUACAAGUAUGAAUCCCCACCUCCACCUCCGUACAAGUAUGAAUCACCUCCACCGCCUCCAUACAAGUAUGAAUCCCCUCCUCCACCUCCCUACAAAUACGAGUCACCACCCCCACCACCUUAUUACUACAAAUCGCCUCCGCCACCGGAGUAUCAAUCACCUCCUUACGUGUAUAAAUCUCCAC
rnacentral:lncRNA from 1 species